GAUGAACGCUGGCGGCGUGCCUAAUACAUGCAAGUCGAGCGAACAGACGAGGAGCUUGCUCCUCUGACGUUAGCGGCGGACGGGUGAGUAACACGUGGAUAACCUACCUAUAAGACUGGGAUAACUUCGGGAAACCGGAGCUAAUACCGGAUAAUAUAUUGAACCGCAUGGUUCAAUAGUGAAAGACGGUUUUGCUGUCACUUAUAGAUGGAUCCGCGCCGCAUUAGCUAGUUGGUAAGGUAACGGCUUACCAAGGCGACGAUGCGUAGCCGACCUGAGAGGGUGAUCGGCCACACUGGAACUGAGACACGGUCCAGACUCCUACGGGAGGCAGCAGGAGGAAAUCUUCCGCAAUGGGCGAAAGCCUGACGGAGCAACGCCGCGUGAGUGAUGAAGGUCUUCGGAUCGUAAAACUCUGUUAUUAGGGAAGAACAAAUGUGUAAGUAACUAUGCACGUCUUGACGGUACCUAAUCAGAAAGCCACGGCUAACUACGU
rnacentral:rRNA from 1 species